CUGCUUUUAAAAGAUGUUUCUCAUCAGAAAUCAUCUGAAGCUGAGCAACUGGAACAUCCUCUCUUUGGGCCUCAUCCAGUAUGGUGGCAGUCCAUAUCAUUCUCAACACUCAACUGUGCUCUUACCCAAGUGGCCUCAUCCUGAUGCUUCUUUCAUCACACUGAACA